rnacentral:rRNA from 1 species
GACGAACGCUGGCGGCGUGCUUAACACAUGCAAGUCGAACGGAAAGGCCCUGCUUUUGUGGGGUGCUCGAGUGGCGAACGGGUGAGUAACACGUGAGUAACCUGCCCUUGACUUUGUGAUAACUUCAGGAAACUGGGGCUAAUACCGGAUAGGAGCUCCUGCUGCAUGGUGGGGGUUGGAAAGUUUCGGCGGUUGGGGAUGGACUCGCGGCUUAUCAGCUUGUUGGUGGGGUAGUGGCUUACCAAGGCUUUGACGGGUAGCCGGCCUGAGAGGGUGACCGGACACAUUGGGACUGAGAUGCGGCCCAGACUCAUACGGGAGGCAGCAGUGGGGAAUAUUGCACACUGGGCGGAAGCCUGAUGCAGCAACGCCGCGUGCGGGAUGACGGCAUUCGGGUUGUAAACCGCUUUCGCCUGUGACGAAGCGUGAGUGACGGUAAUGGGUAAAGAAGCACCGGCUAACUACGUG